rnacentral:rRNA from 1 species
UACGUAGGGUGCAAGCGUUGUCCGGAAUUAUUGGGCGUAGAGAGCUCGUAGGCGGUCUGUCGCGUCUGGUGUGAAAACUCAGGGCUUAACCCUGAGCUUGCAUCGGGUACGGGCAGACUAGAGUGCGGUAGGGGAGACUGGAAUUCCUGGUGUAGCGGUGAAAAUGCGCAGAUAUCAGGAGGAACACCGGUGGCGAAGGCGAUCUUCUGGACGGAUACUGACGCUGAGGCGCGAAAGCUAGGGGAGCAAACGGG